ACACUCAAAGAACCCGAAGCAGUUUCAGAACAGAACUCUUAUAAUCUGACACCUGUGCAGCAAUGCAUCAUGGGAGGUGGAAGAGACCAAGUGUCAAGGGUAAAGGGGGUGUGUGUUGUUUUAAACCCAAACUCCUUUACACUGGUGAAAUAAGUGUCUGUUCAAUAACAAUGUGUUAGUUGGGGCAUGAACAGAAGCUUGUAGAGUCGAGCUCCGGUUAUUUGGCGAGUUGAAUCUCUGCUUGUUCGCGUGUCACUGGUUGUGACCGUGACUAUAACUAUCACGAGCGUGCGCCGCGCGCUCCCGCCACAGCGGAUGGAGAGAAGAUGAAAGACUGAUGAUGCACUUCUUCAUUUGUUUGAUAAGUUGUGAGUUUCUGAUAUUAAAGACAUGGUGAAAAGGAAGUGUACUUUGAUUCCUGUGGACCAAAUCAUUGUUAAUAGCCACAGCGCCACUUUCAGCGAUUCUGCUGAGUUCGCGUCCUACAACUACCUGAACAUCUCGUACCCAGCAGGCCAAGGAGCAACGCUGGAGUUCUUGCAGAGGUGAACAUGAUGAUCUUCCCCCAAAAGUCAGGCGAGAGACGAGAGAAGAUUGAUAUCUCCAGCAAACUGGGUAAUAAGCAGAAUUAUAGUGAAUCCGGUGCGCAGCCCAGCAUUUUGGAUCAGGAAGAACACGACCCGACAAUUUUCACUGUUCAUCUGAGUAACUGAAAGCAGUUCUUGUAUCACACCACAGACUUUUAGACGUACAUCUUGCACAGACAUCUUGCAUUUCAGUUAUUGUUUGUAGUGAAAAUAACCUUAAAGGACAUUAGUAUUAAUAUCACUAUAGUAUGGUUGCGGUGUUUGUUUCAUUACUAGGCUGGUGCCAAAUAAUGCAAAUGGGUGCAAAUGAGUGGUGUAUAAGUUCUCAUCAGUCUGCGUAUAAAUAACAUGACUACAUUUUCCAACUGCAUGCAUUACAUACUUCAAAGUCCAAUUUUGUGUGCAUAUGAUACGCCAAUCCUUUCCAUUAACCUCGGUGGAGAGCAGAUGCGUCUAAUAACCACGCAUCAUCUUCAACGGCAAUGACGUCACAAGUGGUGCUCGGUUCGCCCAGCCUGGUUCACCUGAUGCGCGCAUCUUCAAACGGGUGCGUUUCCCAAAAGCAUUGUGAGAUUAGGCUCCUAUUCCCAGGAUAUUUGAUUUCUAGUGGCAUCAUAUAGUCCUUAGGUCCAACACAAUUUAUCCAUGGUUGAAAAUAAAGUCAAGUCCUUUUCUUUAUAGUGCCAUUGAAAAGGCUUAAGAUAUGCUCACAUCAGGUCCUCACAUGUCGAUUGAAUGUUUGGCCUUUAAAUAACAUCCUCUUACAAGGCUACACAUUUGACAUUGUCUAUUGUCUGUAAUCGACAGAUUCAUUGUUCUGUUAUAAAACAAAGUAAUACUGUUUGUAAUUUAACAUAAAAUAGUUAUGUACAGUAAAGCCACGUGAAGCACAAGACAUCAAAUAUGAUAGUUAGCACGAAAUCCUGAUUGCAUUUGAUUAUAUUAUCCCAAUAGAAACACGGAAUUGAGCUCCCAAAGAAAACCCUCAAUGAGAAACAUACUUUAGCCACAUACUUUAUCAUUAAAAGGCCAUAAUUUCAUAUUUCUGCUCAUGAAUGUCACUUAUUAAACAUAUGAGGUGAGGACAUGUAUAAAAAACAUCCUUCAAGUCUAAUGUUUAUAAUGCUGAACCUGCUCUAAGUUCAGCACACUAUCAUUCAUGAUUCAUUUAUUAAAAAUAUUUUCUCACAUUAUCGUUGAUUUGUAAAGAAAUGAGGUCUGUUCAUUGUGAAGGUCAUGGUUUUCAUGAGCCACUUCAGGAGGGAUGAAGCUUUGGAGGAUCUUUAACAAUUUAUAAUUAAACUUGUAAAUUCAAAGAUGUUUUCUGUCAUGAUUGGAGAAAUGAAAUGUGAUUAUUAUUAAGCCUAUACUGGA